GAAUUCGAUUCAGGCCUAACACAUGCAAGUCGAACGGCAGCACGGACUUCGGUCUGGUGGCGAGUGGCGAACGGGUGAGUGAUACAUCGGAACGUGCCCAGUCGUGGGGGAUAACGUAGCGAAAGCUACGCUAAUACCGCAUACGAUCUAAGGAUGAAAGCGGGGGAUCGCAAGACCUCGCGCGAUUGGAGCGGCCGAUGGCAGAUUAGGUAGUUGGUGGGGUAAAGGCUCACCAAGCCGACGAUCUGUAGCUGGUCUGAGAGGACGACCAGCCACACUGGGA
rnacentral:rRNA from 1 species